UGGGGAAUAUUGGACAAUGGGGGCAACCCUGAUCCAGCAAUGCCGCGUGUGUGAAGAAGGCCUGCGGGUUGUAAAGCACUUUCAGUAGAGAAGAAAAGCCUAAGGUUAAUAACCUUGAGUCUUGACGUAACCUACAGAAGAAGCACCGGCUAACUCCGUGCCAGCAGCCGCGGUAAUACGGAGGGUGCAAGCGUUGUUCGGAAUUACUGGGCGUAAAGCGCACGUAGGCGGAUUGUUAAGUCAGAGGUGAAAUCCCGGAGCUCAACUUCGGAACUGCGUUUGAAACUGAGGGGCUAGAGUGUGGAAGAGGGGGGUGGAAUUCCAGGUGUAGCAGUGAAAUGCGUAGAGAUCUGGAGGAACACCGAUGGCGAAGGCAGCCCCCUGGGCUAACACUGACGCUCAUGCACGAAAGCGUGGGGAGCAAACAGGAUUAGAUACCCCAGUAGUCCCUGAGCGGGCUGGCAAGGCGCAU
rnacentral:rRNA from 1 species